rnacentral:lncRNA from 1 species
AAUGUCAUUUUUAUAAAUAAAUCUUAAUUGGAAAUAUUUUACAUUUUCUAUUGAAAAGAUAAAGAAAUAAAAAAUUAAAAAAAUUAAAAAUAAAAAUAAAUAAAUAAAUAACGAAGGAAAACAAAACACAAAAAGCAAAAACAAAAACACAAAAGGAUUAUCCAGUUACAUCCCUAUCUAUAUUUUAAAUAUCAAAUAAUUAUGUUGAACAAAAAUUGAAAAUUUACGAGACAUAUUUCUUUCGUAACAGCCAUCAACACUGAUCAAGUACAUAACACGACAAUAAUAUUUUCUUUAAAAAAGAUUAUAAUUAAGUAGUCAUAAUUUAUUGUAACAACAACAAAAAAGACAUUAGC